UAUGGCCAUAUCAUGUUGAAACAUUGGUUCUCAUACAAUCACUGAAGUUAAGCAUCAAUGAACCUGGUCAGUAACUAGAUGGGUGACUGCUUGGGAAUAUCAGGUGCUGUAA